rnacentral:rRNA from 1 species
UGGCCUACGGGGGGCAGCAGUGGGGAAUAUUGGGCAAUGGGCGCAAGCCUGACCCAGCAACGCCGCGUGAAGGAAGAAGGCUUUCGGGUUGUAAACUCCUUUUAAGAGGGAAGAGAAGAAGACGGUACCUCUUGAAUAAGCCACGGCUAACUACGUGCCAGCAGCCGCGAUAAUACGUAGGCGGCAAGCGUUGUCCGGAUUUACUGGGUGUAAAGUGCGUGCAGCCGGGCGGACAAAUCAGAUGUGAAGUCCCGCGGCUCACCCGCGGAACUGCAUU